UUCAUGAGCACCUGAUCCCCCAAUUAAGCUUUCCACCUGCAGAGGCCAAGCUUCCAUCCCGCUCAAUUUCUCUCCCCAACCCUCUCCACAGCUGACAGUGUAUUCUGUGACCAGAGAAUGAACACAGCAGAUUCCAUCAAGAAUCUGAAUUUUGUGAGAAGCCCAGUAUUCUUGAGGUUACCAGGGCAACCUCUGAGGCUUGGAUGAAGGUGUUAGCAAUGUGUCACCAGGAGUGUUUCAUCUGAAUCAUCGCCUGUUGGACAGUCCUUUGUGGAUCAUAAUCCUCUCUGAUGCGGCUAUCAGCCAAAAUGGUGCUGUCAACAUUUAUGUCAACGCCGAGUGCUCAUCAUCUUUGUCAUUGUGCCUACCCUCCUGAACUCCACCUGGGAUCAUCAUCAGCAAAGCAACUGCAAAACUGGCUUUUCUCACACAGCCUUAUACAAGCAGUAAACAGUGGAUCUCAGGGGAUAACUCUGUGUCAUAUAAUUUACUGCCCAAUUUUGCUAACCCAUGAGGUUUAGCUGCUAGUCUUUUUCAGAGCUUCAAAUAAGCUUACAAGUUUGGGGCUAUUUAUCUAUAAUAAACUUUUAAAUAUUCAGCAUGAAAAAACCCCCAGCAUUUUCAGCUUUGAGUGCAUUGAUGGAUAUUCUUUGAGGAUUUCAGAGGAAAAGGCGUUUGGUAUACAGAGGAUGUUGUAUUAUUCUAGCUUUCUGUUACUGCCUAAUAUUUACAGUAAAAAGUAUACCAUUGCAGAGCCAAAAGAGACCUUGGAGAUAAUCUGAUUUAAUGAGCUCAUUUUGUAGAAAGGUCUGAAUAGGAGUUACCCAAGAUCACACAGUUAUUUAGUAGAAGAAUUGAAAUGAGAAUCAGGCUUUAUAACUCUGCACAGGCAUAUACUCCAUUCAGAAACUGAAUUGAAUUUCCUCCAACAGAAGCCCAGAGCCAUUCUACAAAAGAAGUAAAAAGCAAGAUAUUUUUCAAUAGCUUUACACUGUCUACAAAACACACAGCCAAAGGAGAUGUUUCCUUUUGACUACGUAUGAUCCUAACCUUAACUGAAUCCAUAGAAUAGAAAAUGUGCUAUGCUCCAGUCUAGCAUAGAAAACUUGAUGAAGGUGGUUGUAGAGUUGAGUAUUGAAUGGUAGCCAGAGGAUGAGAAUGGACAGAUGUCAUGCUGUGUGAUAAAAAUGUAACCAUGCAUGGCCAUGCAUGUGGACAAUGGUAAUGAAGCCAUAUGAGAACAUAACAUUGACAGAAUUAUACAUUGUCCUAAUCUGUCAUUAAUAUGGCUAAAAUAGUCAUGGUAUGAGGAAAAAAGAUUUC
rnacentral:sRNA from 1 species